UCACCGCUAGCACAGCUGGCAGUGCGGCCGCAGCUAAAGUGUUUACGCUCGGGCCGCCCGGCUCCGCCAUGAGGCGGGGCGAGGGCGAUCGAGGUGGACGCCCAGCGCGGACGAGCGGGGUUCGAGUCCCCGGCGGUGAU